CUGAGUGAGGUUCAGCCAUGUCAUAUCAAGGAAGAUGAUGCCUGUACUGACCUCACUGGGCCUUCAGCAACAGGAAUGAGCAAACUCUUCACAGUAUGAGAGUACGGAAGCAGAACGAUGACCUAGGAAAGAGGAACCCGCUGAGGUUGUCCCGUCCUCCUCCCGUGUCCUGCCACCACUUCACCUUCCUCCUUGGUGCAGACCACUCCGUGCUCCUACGACCGGGAACGGUGGCUAGCCCUCACACUAGGAGAUCUCAGGGACGCUUAAAGAGGAUGAGCAAGAAAGCACAAGAUCAAAGGCAAGAAGGUCUGAAAUCAAGGGCACGAGAAGUAGGAGGACAAAGAAAGGCUGACAAAGCUGCUGUAAAAGAAUGAGAGCAUAUUUCUGUAUUAUAGCAGGCAUCAAGUAGCAUCUGCUAUAGUUAUGGUGACACGAGUAGCCUUCGUUCCACUCCUUGCUUUUCACACACUAGUAACUUGGACAAAUGCACUGCAUAUGUGGACACAGGUAGUCAUCUGUACCUUUCAAAAGUGUCCCGCCAACUCUGAAUUUUAAUUACUUUUAACUUCUACAUUAAUUUUCUCCCAACCUGGCUGCUUUUUCAGAGCAAACAACGAACCAAAUAUGAGCGCCAGUUUUAAGAAAAACAGGUUUAAAGCAAGAAAUCCUUUUAAAAUGGCAAAUCUUAACUCAUGCUUACUAGAACAUACAGGAUUAUAUGCACAAGGAAGAAAACACUUAGGUAAGUCAGUAACAGCACUGAAGAUCUAGGAAGGAUUUCUCUGCCAUAGUUUAAUGGAGAUCAUAAGAGAUAGAAUGAGUCAAACCAUACCUGAAAACUAAUUGACCAUUAUCUCAGUGUGAUGAUCAUUAACAUGAAGAUUUUCUGAAGUUCAGGUUACAGAAGCAGUUAUUUUUUACCAACUGACCAAAGUGUAAUAGAACUGUACUUAAAACUAUCAGUGGGAAGGUGCAAUAAUCAACGUUUGCCUCUUUUGGCAGAGUAUAAAGAACAGAAAAAGGAAUUGUACCUUACCCAAAAAUAAAACCCAUUACUCAGGAGUUUUCUAUGUCA
rnacentral:lncRNA from 1 species